GACGAACGCUGGCGGCGUGCUUAACACAUGCAAGUCGAACGGAAAGGCCCUGCUUUUGUGGGGUGCUCGAGUGGCGAACGGGUGAGUAACACGUGAGUAACCUGCCCUUGACUUUGGGAUAACUUCAGGAAACUGGGGCUAAUACCGGAUAGGAGCUCCUGCUGCAUGGUGGGGGUUGGAAAGUUUCGGCGGGUGGGGAUGGACUCGCGGCUUAUGAGCUUGUUGGUUGGGUAGUGGCUUACCAAGGCUUUGACGGGUAGCCGGCCUGAGAGGGUGACCGGCCACAUUGGGACUGAGAUACGGCCCAGACGCGUACGGGAGGCAGCAGUGGGGAACAUUGCACAAUGGGCGGAAGCCUGAGGCAGCAACGCCGCGUGCGGGAUGACGGCCUUCGGGGUGUAAACCGCUUUCGCCUGUGACGAAGCGUGAAUGACGGUAAUGGGUAAAGAAGCACCGGCUAACUACGUG
rnacentral:rRNA from 1 species